GAUGAACGCUGGCGGCGUGCCUAACACAUGCAAGUCGAACGGAAAGACAGUAAGUUCGUGCUCUUACCGGUUGCGGGUGGCGGGCGGGUAACGUGUGUAUCCGACUCUUUUUUUUCGGGGAGGAUAACGUAACGAAGGUUAAUACAGUACAGAAUAUCAUGUACCGUUGUGUGCAUUGGAAAUUCUCGGCUUGCGCGAUUGAAUGAGCGGAUGUCGGGCUAGUUAGUUGGGUGGGUAAGGGCCCAGCAAGGCGACGAUACGUAGCUGGUCUGAGAGGAUGAUCGGCCACACUGGAACUGAGACACGGUCCAGACUCCUACGGGAGGCAGCAGUCGGGAAUAUUCGGCAAAGGGCGAAAACCUGACCCAGCCAUACCGCGUGUGUGAAGAAGGCCUUCGGAUCGUAAAACCCUCUUUUUGGGAAAGAACAGCUGUAGGUUAAUACACAGAUGUACUGACGGUACCUAAUAAAUAAGCACCGGCUAACUACGUG
rnacentral:rRNA from 1 species